rnacentral:rRNA from 1 species
CGAACGCUGGCGGCAGGCCUAACACAUGCAAGUCGAGCGCUUCCCUUCGGGGAGGAGCGGCGGACGGGUUAGUAACGCGUGGGAAUGUACCCUUUUCUAAGGAAUAGCCUCGGGAAACUGAGAGUAAUACCUUAUACGCCCUUCGGGGGAAAGAUUUAUCGGAGAAGGAUCAGCCCGCGUUAGAUUAGAUAGUUGGUGGGGUAAUGGCCUACCAAGUCUACGAUCUAUAGCUGGUUUUAGAGGAUGAUCAGCAACACUGGGACUGAGACACGGCCCAGACUCCUACGGGAGGCAGCAGUGGGGAAUCUUGGACAAUGGGCGCAAGCCUGAUCCAGCCAUGCCGCGUGAGUGAUGAAGGCCUUAGGGUCGUAAAGCUCUUUCGCCAGGGAUGAUAAUGACAGUACCUGGUAAAGAAACCCCGGCUAACUCC